CACAGACGGUCUUUACAAGCGACUCGUGGGCGUCAAUACUGGGCUGAGUUUGUGGCGCGCUUAGUGAUGGGAUGGCCCUGUGCAGGACGCCGACACGAAAAGAUGAAGAGUUCAAUCCGUGCUGUCUGAACUCACAGUGUAGCAGGCGAGAUAGACGGGAAGAUCGGUAGGGUGGGAGAUGCCGGAAAGGCUUCCCGUGAGACUGGAUAAGAAAUCAAAAAUCUGGUGAAAUUGCCGGCAAGAGGGAGUUAAGGACAUUCCAGGCAGAGGCAAGAUUCCUAAGAUGAGGACACAGCAUCCUGGGCCACUGUCACUAAUACAAAUUUGCCUCUGGAGGGACUCUACGGAAGAUAAUUCCCCUGAAAUUUGGAGAGUUGAAUUAAGCUAGGACUGAUUCUGGCUGGAAUUUGUGGUGGCUACGUACCCUAGAGGGCCUCAAGGAAACCCACGGUUCAAGACAGCCCUGACAGAUUCUGGAGUCUAGAACAGAAAUGGAUUUGAACAUGGGCAAGGCCAACCACCCAGUUCACGGCCUGUGUACAGCAAAGAUUACGUUACAGCCUGAGAGCUAAGCCUGGAAGCUCUUUCAUCCAUCCGUUUGUCCAUCUAUCCAUCCAUCUGCUCAUCCAUCCCUCCAUCUGCUCAACAAACGUUAGAGAAUCAAUCCUUGUGUCAGAUACUGGGGCUGCCCUCAAGGAGCUUUUAUAGAGUUCAGGGUACAGCCAGGUGGGGGAGACAGAUCACUAUAAAAACCUACCACUAUAAUCCAAAGGACAAGAGCAAAAAUAGUAAAGAGGAGAGAAGACCCAAAUUUGCCUGGUGGGUCAGAGAGGGCUUUCUAGAAGAGGUAAAAAAUCUUCGGGGCUAUCACUUCACCUUGCCUGGUGGAUAAAGGGAGGACUUUCCAGAUACAGUGGACAGAAUGUGCAGAGGCAGGAGCCAUGAGUGGCAGAGGCAGGGGAGGGACUGCAGAGACAGGUUGGAGCCAAAGCACGUGGCACUGGAGCCAUAGCCAAAGGAACAAACUGUGAGACCUGGGACUUGAAUUUGGAGGUGGUGAAAAGUGACAAGGUCUUCACAGAAGAGUGAUUUUUUCAACUUAGGGAAGGCUGACCCCAGACCAAUGCUGCCAAAGUGUGGUCUGUGGGCUGUUAGCAGUUCGUGACGAUGUAAGUACAGGAAUUGAGAUUAAGCAUUUAGAACACCUACAGCACUUUGAUAGUCAUUUUACUUUUUAAAUUUUGAGCUGGCAUUUUAUAUGCCUGGUUUUUUUUUGUUUUUGUUUUUUUAUUUUUUUUGAGACAGUCUCGCUCUGUCGCCCAGGCUGGAGUGCAGUGGCGCGAUCUCUGCUCACUGCAAGCUCCGCCUCCCGGGUUCACGCCAUUCUCCUGCCUCAUCCUCCCAAGUAGCUGGGACUGCAGGCGCCUGCCGCCUCGCCCAGCUAAUUUUUUGUAUUUUUAAUAGAGACGGGGUUUCACCAUGUUAGCCAGGAUGGUCUCAAUCUCCUGAUCUCGUGAUCUGCCCGCCUUGGCCUCCCAAAAUGCUGGGAUUACAGGUGUGAGCCACCACGCCCAGCCUUAUUCUCUUUUUCUAAUAGUUGCACUUUAUCAUAUUUUACAAAUGUGUGAGUCUGCUAUGGAUUAGAAAUUAAUAAGAGAUUUUGCCACAGAUAGUUUGAGAAGCCCAGCACUGCCACUCAACAAAUGCUGGUGCAUUCAGAUGGUGAAAUAUUCUGCAGCUAUUAAAGGAGUUAAAACUGCCUCCACUUACCUGGAGGCCCAUCUGUGACACCUUUUUAGGUUAAAAGGAAAAGAAAAACUUGCUUAGGACUGAAUAUGAGCGGUUGCAAUUUGUAACAAUGAUGUAUAUAUACAUAUACAUUUUCAUGUAUUUGUAUGAACAUAAAAGUAUUGAAGGAUAUUCAUCAAACUGCUAAAAGGGUUGCUUCAGAGUAACGGACUCGGAGAAGGCAGAUUAAUUUUCUCUUAAUGGAACUCUGUAUUGUAUCACUUGUAAAAAUAAGCAUGUGUUAUCUUUAUGAUAAAAAAGUAAAAACCUAAAAAAGAAAAUUUUGAUGUGUGUUAAAAUUUUGGAUUUCUAGGCUCCACCUUUUUUGAAUGAGUCUCUCCAAGAGUGGGG
rnacentral:lncRNA from 1 species